CUCCUGGUAGCCAAGUUGGUUUAAGGCGCAAGACUGUAAUUUGAUUAAUAUUCUWURGAGUAUUGAUAUAAAGUAAUCUUGAGAUCGGGCGUUCGACUCGCCCCCAGGAGA
rnacentral:tRNA from 1 species